rnacentral:rRNA from 1 species
GAUGAACGCUGGCGGCGUGCCUAACACAUGCAAGUCGAACGAGAUGCGUAUUGGAAAGCUUCGGCCGGAAGAUACGUUAUCUAGUGGCGGACGGGUGAGUAACACGUGGGUAACCUGCCUUAUGGAGGGGGAUAACAGAGAGAAAUCACUGCUAAUACCGCAUAAGCACACAGUACCGCAUGGUACAGGGUGAAAAGAUUUAUCGCCAUAAGAUGGACCCGCGUCUGAUUAGCCAGUUGGCAGGGUAAAAGCCUACCAAAGCAACGAUCAGUAGCCGAUCUGAGAGGAUGACCGGCCACAUUGGGACUGAGACACGGCCCAAACUCCUACGGGAGGCAGCAGUGGGGAAUAUUGCACAAUGGGGGAAACCCUGAUGCAGCGACGCCGCGUGAGUGAAGAAGUAUUUCGGUAUGUAAAGCUCUAUCAGCAGGGAAGAUAAUGACAGUACCUGACUAAGAAGCCCCGG